rnacentral:rRNA from 1 species
GAUGAACGCUGGCGGCGUGCCUAAUACAUGCAAGUCGAGCGAACAGACGAGGAGCUUGCUCCUUUGACGUUAGCGGCGGACGGGUGAGUAACACGUAGGUAACCUACCUAUAAGACUGGGAUAACUUCGGGAAACCGGAGCUAAUACCGGAUAAUAUUUCGAACCGCAUGGUUCGAUAGUGAAAGAUGGCUUUGCUAUCACUUAUAGAUGGACCUGCGCCGGAUUAGCUAGUUGGUAAGGUAACGGCUUACCAAGGCAACGAUCCGUAGCCGACCUGAGAGGGUGAUCGGCCACACUGGAACUGAGACACGGUCCAGACUCCUACGGGAGGCAGCAGUAGGGAAUCUUCCGCAAUGGGCGAAAGCCUGACGGAGCAACGCCGCGUGAGUGAUGAAGGUCUUCGGAUCGUAAAACUCUGUUAUUAGGGAAGAACAAACGUGUAAGUAACUGUGCACGUCUUGACGGUACCUAAUCAGAAAGCCACGGCUAACUACGUG